rnacentral:rRNA from 1 species
GGACUACACGGGUAUCUAAUCCUGUUUGCUCCCCACGCUUUCGCUCCUCAGCGUCAGUUCCGGCCCAGAGCACCGCCUUCGCCACUGGUGUUCCUCCUGAUAUCUGCGCAUUUCACCGCUACACCAGGAAUUCCAUGCUCCCCUACCGGACUCUAGCCACAGCAGUAUCGGGUGGCGUCUCUAGGUUGAGCCUAGAGUUUUCACACCCGACUUACCGAGCCGCCUACGAGCUCUUUACGCCCAAUAAAUCCGGACAACGCUCGCCCCCUACGUGUUACCGCGGCGGCUGGCAC